AAGUCGUAACAAGGUUUCCGUAGGUGAACCUGCGGAAGGAUCAUUAACGAGCGCUGCCUACGGGCAACCCUCCCACCCUAUGUUAACGUACCUGUUGCUCUGGCAGCUUGCCGGAGCCUCUAAACUCUAUUAAAAUGUCGUCUGAGUAUACAAACAAAAUUUGUCAAAACUUUCAACAACGGAUCUCUUGGUUCUGGCAUCGAUGAAGAACGCAGCGAAAUGCGAUACGUAAUGCGAAUUGCAGAAUUCCGUGAGUCAUCGAAUCUUUGAACGCACAUUGCGCCCCCUGGUACUCCGGGGGGCAUGCCUGUUCGAGCGUCAUUUCAACCCUCAAGCUCUGCUUGGUAUUGGGCUAUGUCGGUGCGCCGACGAGCUUCAAAAUUAGUAGCGGUGCCGUCCUGGCUCCACGCGUAGUAGUAUUAUCGCGCGUCCGGAUGCCCAGGUGGUGCUAGCCAGCAACCCCCCUCUUUUACAAAGGUUGANCUCGGAUCAGGUAGGGAUACCCGCUGAACUUAAGCAUAUCAAUAAGCGGAGGAAAAGAAACCAACAGGGAUUGCCUCAGUAACGGCGAGUGAAGCGGCAACAGCUCAAAUUUGAAAGCUGGCUUUCGGGCCCGCGUUGUAAUUUGUAGAGGAUGCUUCGGAUGCGGUCCGCUCCAAGUCCCUUNGAACAGGGCAUCGCAGAGGGUGAGAAUCCCGUACGCGAGUGGCGCCAAAUCCAUGUGAAGCUCCUUCGACGAGUCGAGUUGUUUGGGAAUGCAGCUCUAAAUGGGUGGUAAAUCUCAUCUAAAGCUAAAUACUGGCCAGAGACCGACAGCGCACAAGUAGAGUGAUCGAAAGAUGAAAAGCACUUUGGAAAGAGAGUUAAACAGCACGUGAAAUUGUUGAAAGGGAAGCGCUUGCAGCCAGACUUGCGCGCAGUUGAUCAUCCGGCNNCCUCGCCGGUGCACUCAGCUGUGUGCAGGCCAACAUCAGUUCUGGCGGCGGGAGAAAGGCUAGGGGAAUGUGGCUCCUCCGGGAGUGUUAUAGCNCCUGGCGUAAUGCCGCCCGCUGGGACUGAGGUCCGCGCUUCGGCUAGGAUGUUGGCGUAAUGGCUGUCAGCGACC
rnacentral:rRNA from 1 species